ACCAGAAGUUAGGGGCUGCAGCGGCGCUGGCUUUAGGUGAACGACGUGAAAAUUACUUUUCCCACUGAAACACACCCAAGUAUAUGCCCAGCCUUCAUGAAAGUGAACAGAGAAACGAAGCGCCUUUAUGUGGGUGGCCUUAGCCAGGACAUUUCUGAGGCAGACCUACAAAAUCAGUUCAGCAGAUUUGGAGAAGUUUCGGAUGUGGAGAUCAUCACACGGAAAGAUGACCAAGGAAACCCACAGAAAGUUUUUGCAUAUAUCAACAUCAGUGUAGCAGAAGCGGACCUGAAAAAAUGUAUGUCUGUUUUAAAUAAAACAAAAUGGAAAGGUGGAACAUUACAAAUUCAACUAGCAAAAGAAAGCUUUCUGCACAGCAGUUGCCAGCCUACUGUGUACAGGCACUAGAGCCCCAUGCUGAGCAGGUUGAGCACACAGUGCUGCUGCUUGGAGUAUCUGCGUGGAUAUGCCUGAGAAGCAUGGGUCUGAUGGUUAUUCUGGGACAUAAAGGAGACAGACCAGAGGCAAAGAGGCCAGUGAGGACUGCUCUGUGCAGUUGUCCAGGC
rnacentral:misc_RNA from 1 species